rnacentral:rRNA from 1 species
AUUGAACGCUGGCGGCAUGCCUUACACAUGCAAGUCGAACGGUAACAGGUUAAGCUGACGAGUGGCGAACGGGUGCGUAAUGUAUCGGAACGUGCCCAGUCGUGGGGGAUAACUGCUGGAAAGAGCAGCUAAUACCGCAUACGACCUGAGGGUGAAAGCGGGGGAUCGCAAGACCUCGCGCGAUUGGAGCGGCCGAUAUCAGAUUAGGUAGUUGGUGAGGUAAAGGCUCACCAAGCCGACGAUCUGCAGCUGGUCUGAGAGGACGAACAGCCACACUGGGACUGAGACACGGCCCAGACUCCUACGGGAGGCAGCAGUGGGGAAUUUUGGACAAUGGGCGCAAGCCUGAUCCAGCCAUGCCGCGUGCGGGAAGAAGGCCUUCGGGUUGUAAACCGCUUUUGUCAGGGAAGAAAAGGUUCUGGCUAAUACCUGGGACUCAUGACGGUACCUGAAGAAUAAGCACCGGCUAACUACGUGCCAGCCGCCGCGGUAA